GGGACCCAUGAUGACCACUGGUGGCAUUAUGAGUAGUGGAUGGAGACUGCCCUGGAACUCUGAGGUCCAU